rnacentral:rRNA from 1 species
GGUGGAUCAGUGGCGAACGGGUGAGUAACACGUGAGCAACCUGCCCCUGACUCUGGGAUAAGCGCUGGAAACGGCGUCUAAUACUGGAUAUGUGACGUGACCGCAUGGUCUGCGUUUGGAAAGAUUUUUCGGUUGGGGAUGGGCUCGCGGCCUAUCAGCUUGUUGGUGAGGUAAUGGCUCACCAAGGCGUCGACGGGUAGCCGGCCUGAGAGGGUGACCGGCCACACUGGGACUGAGACACGGCCCAGACUCCUACGGGAGGCAGCAGUGGGGAAUAUUGCACAAUGGGCGCAAGCCUGAUGCAGCAACGCCGCGUGAGGGAUGACGGCCUUCGGGUUGUAAACCUCUUUUAGCAGGGAAGAAGCGAAAGUGACGGUACCUGCAGAAAAAGCGCCGGCUAACUACGUGCCAGCAGCCGCGGUAAUACGUAGGGCGCAAGCGUUAUCCGGAAUUAUUGGGCGUAAAGAGCUCGUAGGCGGUUUGUCGCGUCUGCUGUGAAAUCCCGAGGCUCAACCUCGGGCCUGCAGUGGGUACGGGCAGACUAGAGUGCGGUAGGGGAGAUUGGAAUUCCUGGUGUAGCGGUGGAAUGCGCAGAUAUCAGGAGGAACACCGAUGGCGAAGGCAGAUCUCUGGGCCGUAACUGACGCUGAGGAGCGAAAGGGUGGGGGAGCAAACAGGCUUAGAUACCCUGGUAGUCCACCCCGUAAACGUUGGGAACUAGUUGUGGGGUCCAUUCCACGGAUUCCGUGACGCAGCUAACGCAUUAAGUUCCCCGCCUGGGGAGUACGGCCGCAAGGCUAAACUCAAAGGAAUUGACGGGGACCCGCCACAGCGGCGGAGCAUGCGGAUU